GCCACAGCAUGCCUUCACAAUUUCUGGACGAGGUGAUCAGGGAAGUCAUACAAGAAUUCUUCAAGCUGCCAGGGGAAGAGAAGAGCAAGUACUCUCGGGCCGCCGGCUAGUCUGAAGGCUAUGGACCGGACAAAGUCGUCUCGGAGAAGCAGGUUCUCGACUGGUGUGACCGGUUAUCCCUCAGGAUCUAUCCGGAAGAUCAGAGGAAACCAAAGCACUGGCCGGAAAAACCAGAAGAUUUUAAAGAGAAAAUUGUGGAAUUCGCAGCAAAUAUCAAGUCUGUAAUGGGUAUUAUAUUCAAAGCCAUGGCAAGGUCACUGAAAUUGGAGGUGGAUAGCUUAUCAAAGCAGUUUGGGGAAAGAGCAAUCAUGCAAGGAAGGUUUAUCCUCUACCCACCAUGUCCAACACCGGACCAAGUUUUGGGCUUAAAUCUCAUUCGGACAGAUCAGGGAUGACCAUUCUGUUGCUAGACAGGGAAGUUAAAGGCCCGCAAGUUCUGAAAGAUGAUAAAUGGCUCAUUGUCCCCAUAAUUCCUUAUGCCCUUUUCGUCAACCUAGGUGAUCAAAUGCAGGUACUCUCUUGCCCUCUGUUUGGUGAAGAUUUUUGUGUUUUCAAGUGCCUCUCUGUUCUGCAGAAUUAUCAAUCAGAAUGUGAAAUUGCUAUGACCCAAUCCUUUGUGGGUAGUCUAGAGGAGAGGUGUUAGUUAUAUGAAUUGAUCUAUGAGCCCAAUAUAGUUAACUAUAGCUUAGUUC